GGACGGGUAGCUCAGUUGGUAGAGCAUUUGUUCACGAAAGGCAAAGGUCCCGAGUUCGAGCCUCGGUUCGUCCU